UCGGGUGUGUUAUAGCCCCUGGUCAUAUACGUCGGAUGGGACUGAGGAACUCAGCACGCCGCAAGGCCGGGUCUUUGACCACGUACGUGCUUAGGAUGCUGGCAUAAUGGCCUUAAGCGACCCGUCUUGAAACACGGACCAAGGAGUCUAACAUGCCCGCGAGUGUUUGGGUGGAAAACCCAUGCGCGAAAUGAAAGUAAAAGUCGAGAUCCCUGUCGUGGGGAG
rnacentral:rRNA from 1 species